UGUGAGUUCGAUGAGUAGGGCGGGACACGUGACAUCCUGUCUGAAUAUGGGGGGACCAUCCUCCAAGGCUAAAUACUCCUGACUGACCGAUAGUGAACCAGUACCGUGAGGGAAAGGCGAAAAGAACCCCGGCGAGGGGAGUGAAAUAGAACCUGAAACCGUGUACGUACAAGCAGUGGGAGCCUACUUGUUAGGUGACUGCGUACCUUUUGUAUAAUGGGUCAGCGACUUAUAUUCUGUAGCAAGGUUAACCGUAUAGGGGAGCCGCAGGGAAACCGAGUCUUAACUGGGCGUUAAGUUGCAGGGUAUAGACCCGAAACCCGGUGAUCUAGCCAUGGGCAGGUUGAAGGUUGGGUAACACUAACUGGAGGACCGAACCGACUAAUGUUGAAAAAUUAGCGGAUGACUUGUGGCUGGGGGUGAAAGGCCAAUCAAACCGGGAGAUAGCUGGUUCUCCCCGAAAGCUAUUUAGGUAGCGCCUCGUGAAUUCAUCUUCGGGGGUAGAGCACUGUUUCGGCUAGGGGGUCAUCCCGACUUACCAACCCGAUGCAAACUACGAAUACCGAAGAAUGUUAUCACGGGAGACACACGGCGGGUGCUAACGUUCGUCGUGAAGAGGGAAACAACCCAGACCGCCAGCUAAGGUCCCAAAGUCAUGGUUAAGUGGGAAACGAUGUGGGAAGGCACAGACAGCCAGGAUGUUGGCUUAGAAGCAGCCAUCAUUUAAAGAAAGCGUAAUAGCUCACUGGUCGAGUCGGCCUGCGCGGAAGAUGUAACGGGGCUAAACCAUGCACCGAAGCUGCGGCAGCGACACUUAGGUGUUGUUGGGUAGGGGAGCGUUCUGUAAGCCGUCGAAGGUGGCCUGUGAGGGCUGCUGGAGGUAUCAGAAGUGCGAAUGCUGACAUAAGUAACGAUAAUGCGGGUGAAAAACCCGCACGCCGGAAGACCAAGGGUUCCUGUCCAACGUUAAUCGGGGCAGGGUGAGUCGACCCCUAAGGCGAGGCUGAAAAGCGUAGUCGAUGGGAAACAGGUUAAUAUUCCUGUACUCGGUGUUACUGCGAAGGGGGGACGGAGAAAGCUAGGUUAUCCGGGCGACGGUUGUCCCGGUUUAAGCGUGAAGGUGGAUGACUUUGGUAAAUCCGGGUCGUCAUUAACACUGAGGCGUGAUGACGAGUCACUACGGUGAUGAAGUAACUAAUGCUACGCUUCCAGGAAAAGCCUCUAAGCUCCAGGUAACAUCAAAUCGUACCCCAAACCGACACAGGUGGUCAGGUAGAGAAUACUCAGGCGCUUGAGAGAACUCGGGUGAAGGAACUAGGCAAAAUGGUGCCGUAACUUCGGGAGAAGGCACGCUGAUGGUAGGUGAAGUGACUUGCUCACGGAGCUGAAAUCAGUCGAAGAUACCAGCUGGCUGCAACUGUUUAAUAAAAACACAGCACUGUGCAAACACGAAAGUGGACGUAUACGGUGUGACGCCUGCCCGGUGCCGGAAGGUUAAUUGAUGGGGUCAGCCGCAAGGCGAAGCUCUUGAUCGAAGCCCCGGUAAACGGCGGCCGUAACUAUAACGGUCCUAAGGUAGCGAAAUUCCUUGUCGGGUAAGUUCCGACCUGCACGAAUGGCGUAAUGAUGGCCAGGCUGUCUCCACCCGAGACUCAGUGAAAUUGAACUCGCUGUGAAGAUGCAGUGUACCCGCGGCAAGACGGAAAGACCCCGUGAACCUUUACUAUAGCUUGACACUGAACCUUGAGCCUUGAUGUGUAGGAUAGGUGGGAGGCUUUGAAGC
rnacentral:rRNA from 2 species